GAUGAACGCUGGCGGCGUGCCUAAUACAUGCAAGUAGAACGCUGAAGCUUGGUGCUUGCACCGAGCGGAUGAGUUGCGAACGGGUGAGUAACGCGUAGGUAACCUGCCUCUUAGCGGGGGAUAACUAUUGGAAACGAUAGCUAAUACCGCAUAAAAGUUGACAUUGCAUGAUGUUGAUUUGAAAGAUGCAAUUGCAUCACUAAGAGAUGGACCUGCGUUGUAUUAGCUAGUUGGUGAAGUAACGGCUCACCAAGGCGACGAUACAUAGCCGACCUGAGAGGGUGAUCGGCCACACUGGGACUGAGACACGGCCCAGACUCCUACGGGAGGCAGCAGUAGGGAAUCUUCGGCAAUGGGGGCAACCCUGACCGAGCAACGCCGCGUGAGUGAAGAAGGUUUUCGGAUCGUAAAGCUCUGUUGUAAGAGAAGAACGAGUGUGAGAGUGGAAAGUUCACACUGUGACGGUAACUUACCAGAAAGGGACGGCUAACUACGUGCCAGCAGCCGCGGUAAUACGUAGGUCCCGAGCGUUAUCCGGAUUUAUUGGGCGUAAAGCGAGCGCAGGCGGUUAGAUAAGUCUGAAGUUAAAGGCUGUGGCUUAACCAUAGUACGCCUUGGAAACUGUUUAACUUGAGUGCAGAAGGGGAGAGUGGAAUUCCAUGUGUAGCGGUGAAAUGCGUAGAUAUAUGGAGGAACACCGGUGGCGAAAGCGGCUCUCUGGUCUGUAACUGACGCUGAGGCUCGAAAGCGUGGGGAGCAAACAGG
rnacentral:rRNA from 1 species